rnacentral:rRNA from 1 species
CCAGUAGUCAUAUGCUUGUCUCAAAGAUUAAGCCAUGCAUGUCUCAGUACAAGCCAAAUUAAGGUGAAACCGCGAAAGGCUCAUUAAAUCAGUUAUGGUUCCUUAGAUCGUACCCACAUUUACUUGGAUAACUGUGGUAAUUCUAGAGCUAAUACAUGCAAACAGAGCUCCGACCGGAGACGGAAGGAGCGCUUUUAUUAGAUCAAAACCAAUCGGUGGCGGGUCUCCCGUCACCGUACACCUUGGUGACUCUGAAUAACUUAUUGCUGAUCGCACGGUCUCGCACCGGCGACGCAUCUUUCAAAUGUCUGCCUUAUCAACUGUCGAUGGUAGGUUCUGCGCCUACCAUGGUUGUAACGGGUAACGGGGAAUCAGGGUUCGAUUCCGGAGAGGGAGCCUGAGAAACGGCUACCACAUCCAAGGAAGGCAGCAGGCGCGCAAAUUACCCACUCCCGGCACGGGGAGGUAGUGACGAAAAAUAACGAUACGGGACUCAUCCGAGGCCCCGUAAUCGGAAUGAGUACACUCUAAACCCUUUAACGAGGAUCAAUUGGAGGGCAAGUCUGGUGCCAGCAGCCGCGGUAAUUCCAGCUCCAAUAGCGUAUAUUAAAGUUGUUGCGGUUAAAAAGCUCGUAGUCGAAUUUGUGUCCCGCGCCGCCGGUUCAUCGCUCGCGGUGUCAACUGGCGUGUCCGCGGGACGUCCUGCCGGUGGGCUUAGCCCCCCGUGGGCGGCCCAAUCUCAAUCCCACCGCGGUGCUCUUCACUGAGUGUCGAGGUGGGCCGGCACGUUUACUUUGAACAAAUUAGAGUGCUUAAAGCAGGCUAAAACAUCGCCUGAAUACUGUGUGCAUGGAAUAAUGGAAUAGGACCUCGGUUCUAUUUUGUUGGUUUUCGGAACCCCGAGGUAAUGAUUAAUAGGAACGGAUGGGGGCAUUCGUAUUGCGACG